rnacentral:rRNA from 1 species
UAUGAAGCUUGACUGUAGCUUGGAAUUGGGUUCGGGCUUUUCUUGCGCAGACUAGGUGGGAGGCUAUGAAGAAAUACUUCUGGGUAUUUUGGAGCCAUCAGUGAGAGACCACUCUGGAAAAGCUAGAAUUCUAAUGGCGUUCCUUGAAGCAGGACGCUUGACAGUUUCAGGUGGGCAGUUUGACUGGGGCGGUCACCUCCUAAAAGGUAACGGAGGUGUGCAAAGGUUCCCUCAGGCUGGACGGAAAUCAGCCGUAGAGUGUAAAGGCAGAAGGGAGCUUGACUGCAAGACCUACAAGUCGAGCAGGGGCGAAAGCCGGCCUUAGUGAUCCGACGGUUCCGUGUGGAAGGGCCGUCGCUAAACGGAUAAAAGUUACUCU